AUUGAACGCUGGCGGCAUGCUUUACACAUGCAAGUCGAGCGGCAGCGCGGGGGCAACCCUGGCGGCGAGCGGCGGACGGGUGAGUAAUGCAUCGGAACGUAUCCCGUAGUGGGGGACAACCCAGCGAAAGCUGGGCUAAUACCGCAUAUGCUCUACGGAGGAAAGCAGGGGACUCGCAAGAGCCUUGUGCUAUGGGAGCGGCCGAUGUCCGAUUAGCUAGUUGGUGGGGUAAAGGCUUACCAAGGCGACGAUCGGUAGCUGGUCUGAGAGGAUGAUCAGCCACACUGGGACUGAGACACGGCCCAGACUCCUACGGGAGGCAGCAGUGGGGAAUUUUGGACAAUGGGGGCAACCCUGAUCCAGCCAUGCCGCGUGCGGGAAGAAGGCC
rnacentral:rRNA from 1 species